UACGUAGGCAGCGAGCGUUGUUCGGAAUUACUGGGCGUAAAGAGUGUGUAGGCGGUGCUCUAAGUUCGGUGUGAAAUCUCCUGGCUUAACUGGGAGGGUGCGCCGGAAACUGGGGUGCUCGAGCGUGGGAGAGGAAAGCGGAAUUCCUGGUGUAGCGGUGAAAUGCGUAGAUAUCAGGAGGAACACCUGUGGUGUAGACAGCUUUCUGGACCAUUGCUGACGCUGAGACACGAAAGCGUGGGGAGCAAACAGG
rnacentral:rRNA from 1 species